AAAACUUUAAAAGAUGCGAAUUACCAAGAGACAUUUUGAGCUUGCAACAAAAUGGAUUCCAUCGGCGGCGGUCUAUGGAACAGGCGCUGCACUAGCAGGACUAUAUUUCACGGACUGGAAACUAAUUCUCGAACACGUGCCAUUCUAUAAUGGACAGUUCAAACCAAGAGAAUUUUAACGUGUCAAUAAAGUUAUAUAAAUAAAUUUAACAAUAUGUAUAAAUAAGAACAAGUUAUUGUAAAUCAUAGUUGAGAAGUAUUCAAUUAUAGUAAAGAAAAAAAAGUA